GUUUCAUGUUCUUUCCGUCAUCUUAUCAUCGUCCUCUUUCGCUCGGUCUUUCUUUCUCCAAUAUUCCAAUCUGUAAUGGAUAUCGUUCUUCACCACCCAUGUCUCUGAUACAACUCGAGUGCAGCCAUUAGAGCGCAGAACCGAAUUGAUAAGUUUCAAAACCCAACGCCUUAACCCUUUGCGUUUAUUCAAAAAUCCGAUUCCUGUUUCCAUCCGCCCCUAAUCGGCUACAAAGAAAUCUGAAAGGGCUCGUCUUCAUCACCCAUCGGAUACGAAAAGCCCUUUCUACUAGCAUCUUCAUCGGUUUCGCAUAAUUUAGUAUUGUGGUUCACACAACCCUUUGACCAUAAGAAGAAUGAGGAUAGUGGGACUUACGGGUGGGAUUUCAUCUGGGAAGAGUACUGUCUAAAAUCUCUUCAAGGCCCAUGACAUUCCUGUUGUCGACGCCUAUCUUGUGGCUCGUGUAAGUGAUGAGCAAAGCUGAAGCAUACUUUUGAACCGGUAUGUACAUUCUCACUGAUUGCCUAAUUUUAUUACGUGAUCUCGCUUAGAGUAUCUCUUUGUAACACUAUUAGAUGUAACAAGGGCAUUGUCUAUAAACUAUUUUGAAUUAUACCUGGUGUGGUGGAGCAAAUCAUACUGUUUUACAGAUUGCUUGCUGAAAGUUGGUGGUUUUAAUUUUGGUUAAUAAUAAUAACAUGAUAUUAUUAUCUUAAGAUCACUUUCGAAAAUGCCAGAAUUGAUGUAAUAAGCUUUAGGAGGACAAGGUAAGAAAUGUUCCUUAUGGUGGGGAAAUUAUAAAGAGUCAAGUUUUGUAAUACUUCCCAGUUUUGAGUUGUGUAGCAACGGAAAAUAAGCAAAUUCCCUCUAGUCAAAAUUGACUAGGUUUUGUCAGAACUUCUGAAAUGCUUUAUCAGAGAUUAUGCGUUGGAGUACCUUGUAAUCAAAAUUACAUGCCCUAUCGACUUUAAUGUCUAUGUUUUAUCUUUUUGCAAACUACUGGCUCCUUGCAUAUCAUCUGGAAUCUUUUGAGAAAUUUGGAAGCUAUGAUUGAAAGGGUUUAAGGUUAUUGUUCUUAUUGUUGUAUGGGUCGAUCCUAAAACACAGCUCCAGAGACUCAUGUUGAGGGACAGAAUAAGUGAGAAUGAUGCUCAAAAACGGAUAAAUGCUCAGGUGUCACUCGAUUUAAAGAGGACCAUGGCAGACAUAGUGAUUGAUAACAGUGGAUCACAAGAUGAUUUAAAAGACAACUUUAAAAUUGUGCUAUUUGAGGUCACAAAGCCCUUGACAUGGACUGAACUUUAGCUUUCUCGCCAAGAUGCUUCACCUGCUCUUGUCUCCAUUAUCAUAGGUGUUCUUAAGUUCAGAAAAAUUUAUAAUAGUGAUAGUAAAUUAUAGCAACCUUGGAGUUGUACUUGUGGAGAUAUUGAUAUAGAUCUCCCUGUAUUUGGUAGUUGAUAAUACAAGAACUUAAGUGUGUUUUUU